UACAGAGGGGGCAAGCGUUGUUCGGAAUUACUGGGCGUAAAGGGCGCGUAGGCGGCCUGCUAAGUCGAACGUGAAAUCCCCGGGCUCAACCCGGGAACUGCGUCCGAUACUGGUAGGCUUGAAUUCGGGAGAGGGAUGCGGAAUUCCUGGUGUAGCGGUGAAAUGCGCAGAUAUCAGGAGGAACACCGGUGGCGAAGGCGGGUCUCUGGGCCGAUACUGACGCUGAGGAGCGAAAGCGUGGGGAGCAAACAGG
rnacentral:rRNA from 1 species